AAGGAGGGGAUGAAGUUGGACGGUACGCAGUGAGUUGCUUUUGAGCACGCGAUAAGAUAUAUGACGAAUCACCCAACACACUGCCAUUUUGUUGAUGUCCACCUUUCCAACCAUAUAUGACUGUGACUGCACCUAGAUCCGGACGACGGCAAAGGGUUUCAAACAAACUCAAAAAAACCAUACAAUGCCAACACAAAUUGGCAUAUGACAUAAAAACUUUUACACGGAUGCAUGGGCAAUCAAGAGUUGCAGGCCCAAUAGCCCUACCCCUGCAUAGAGUGAGAACUCCAGCACAUAUGCAAUAUAUUUGACCUUAUUAAUUUAAACGUCAAUAAGCGCGAGUUCAUUCAGUGAUGGAAGAUGUAUCUAUACAACCAGGUGCAAUAUAAUCAAAAAGGGUAGAGCAAGUAGAAGAAAAUCAUUGUCUUAUUAUUUGGAAGGUUUGAAAUUGUGGAUUCCAACAUAAUAAAUUUUAUUUUUAUUUCUUGAUGCAAUGUCAUAUUGCAUAAUUAAAAGGUUGUAUAUAUCUAAUAUGAAGUCUUGUAAAAUUUUAAAUAGUUUUCGGGUUGAAGAAUUCCAUGAAAAAUCCAUUUUUUUCUUUUUUAAAAAAAAAAAAAAUCGCUAGGUGCAAUAUUGUACAUGAAUUUUGUGAAUGUCAACUCACCCGUGCUUAUGUUUGUCAGCUUUUGGGAUUGGCCUAAUUAGGAUAUUUGGUACAAGUAGUUAGUAGUAGUAGAACAAAAGUCAACAUAAAGACACGUAAAACUAAGCACUACUAGAACUUCACCAAAGGACGUCCUCAUUUUCAUAGCUACUCACUCAUUGUUAAGGUCCCUUGAGCAGAAGAAAAUUAAAAUAGCAAAAAGAAAAAUUAAAAUGGGGCAAUGGAACACCAAAGGACGUCCUCAUUUUCAUAGCUACUCACUCAUUGUUAAGGUCCCUUGAGCAGAAGAAAAUUGAAAUAGCAAAAAGAAAAAUUACAAUGGGGCAAUGGAACACCGCAACGGAGGCUGAUAAAAAUAUUUUAAAAAAAAUGAUCACUUCGAUCCGUAAUUGCAAUUUUAUAUUGUUGAUUAGUCAUCUCAACCAUCACAUUCCACGUCUCCAACACUCGUACCUUUAUUUAUUUAUAUUAUCCACUGUACCUGUAUUUCAUUACCUUAUUCUUACAUUUUCAUUUUAUAAUUCAUAUAUAGCUAUCAGACCAAAAAAAAAAAAAGAAGAAAAACUCAUAAAUUCUAUUAAAUAUUAUAUACCUCACCAAAAAUAUAAUACGCUCAGUGAUAAUAUGAUAUCAAACGCAGGGACAAUUAGAGCUAAUAUUUUUUAUAUAUUAUAAUAUAAAAGAAAAAAAUUCAAUUCACUUGGAACCAAAUUUUGGUAGUUACAUGUAAAUCACUGUGAUACAUUCUCGAAACAAACAAAUGAAUCCCAUCCCAACCCUAACCUACCCUACCUUCCUUUUAACAUAAAGAAUCAGAUAGAUAUGUUUAAAUAAUUCCCUAUUUCUCAACCUAAUAACACAGCUCAACCUCAUGCAAUUUGCAACCCCAGCCCCACCCACCACUCUCUUUGCCCAUUCAAUUACCGUACUUGUUCUUCUUGAUGAUUUUAGAAAAACUGAUAAUAAUAAUAAUAAUAAUAAAAGAAAAAUAAAGGAAUAAGCCAUUAAUUGACAGGUGAGCUUUUUCAAUCAUGACACAAUUCCACGUCACCAUGUCCCACCUCGUGGGUCUCCACCCAGGUCACAAAGGACCGUAGGGUCCACGCUGAAUAGUAGGACAAAAGCCAUGGGGCAGGUUUUGGAAGCUUGUGGGCCAACCCUCCCGAUGAAUUCAUCAGUUAGCGAACGAGUUAGAAGAGCUGCCACAACCGCCAAA